AUAUGGGUUUUAGAAUCCAUACCACUUAGUAUGAGAUUAUGUACCAAUCCAUUUCAAGUUGAUGAGCCAUCUUUAAUAUACUCUCUCCUCUGUUUCAUUCCAUUGUCUUUCAUUUCAAUUUUCGGACAGAGAUGAACUUUCCAUUGAAGCGGCUUCAGAGCUUACUCCUCCAUUGAAUUGAAGCAAAUUCUCAGAUUAAACAAAGAAUAUUCCUCAAUCGCCUCAAACUCGACGACAACCUCAUUAAGGUAAAUUUUGGAUGCGCUGAAAAUCGGAAGGGUGGAUCGAAAAAGCUUCGGAGAAUCUUAGUCUUCUGUUCACUCUAUUAAGAGGAAUCAUAAUUGUGAAGUUACGUAAAGGUCAAGGGUUGAAGCUUAGAGCAAUAGCUAGAAAAGGUAUUGGAAAAGAUCAUGCCAAAUGAUCUCCUGUGGCUAUAAACCUUAAUGUAUGAGCCAGAGAUUCUUAUCAAUGAGGAUAUGAUGGAAUCCUUGUCACUUGAACAAAAGAAAGAGUGGGUUGAAAGCAGUCCUACUAAAGUCUUUUGACAUUGAUCCUAAUACUCAACAGUUUAUCUAGAUAAUAUGGGAUGAAAUGGGCAAGCUUGAAACAGCUAAGGAUAAGAUGUUAGUUUAGCUUGAACAAGAAUGCAUAGAAGUAUACACUUAAAAAGUUGAUGUGGUUAACUGCUCUAGAGCUCAACUACAACUGGCUAUAUGUUGAUGAUUCAGAGGCAGAACCUGCAGUCUUCUAUUCUGCAAUUGGAGAACUACCAUUAGAUAUCACACAUGUAAUAUUUGAUAUAAUUGGUUUGUGAACUUGGUAGGGUUAGUAACCUUUAACUCAUUUUUAGAAUGCUUGAUCAGGUAUCUAAACUUUAUAAUACGGUGUCAUUCCUUCAACAUGUAAUGUGUCUAAGAUACGUUGAUAUGUUUUUGUUCAAAGCGGUUUGCAUGUUACUUUUGUUA